GUCUUGGCCCACGUCUCUGUAUGUGGUUUAAUCAUGGUUGUUUUUUGGGCGGUGGCUCUAGUAUUUCGAAGGAUUAGACGGGAAGGAUACGAGUUUUUGCGCUAUUUUGGGUUUGUUUAUGUGGUAAUUUCUGGAUCAUUCCAAUUAUCGGACAAACUUGACAUCAAAUUUCCUUAAAAAUUAGCCCUGUUCUGGUUCUUCUUUCUGGUUUUCUUGCUGUGCUUCUUGUAGAAUGAUGGAUUUCGGGCAUAUGGAGUGGGAAGGAACUCUCUCUUGGAUGGAUGUGAGCGUAAUCUGAAUCUGGAGUUUUUAUUUCAUCCAUAUCUGUGGUUGUUAUUAUUGUUGUGAUUGCUGUAGGCGGUGCUCUGGACUUUUCAGUAGUUUUGGUGUUGUGUUGAUCGAGGAUUGAUGAGAAAGAUUGAGUUUUUACUAUUGUUGGGUUUGUUGAUUAGUAAUUUCUCGAUCGUUCUUUUUUAUCAAGAUUUUUCGCCUUUUCUUUUUCUUGUCUUUCCUUUUUUUGGUUCUUUUGAUGUCCUCGUUGUGGUGUGGCAGAAUCCUAGUCUUCGGUGGAGCUAAAAAAGACUCUUUCUGGACACGAAUAUCAUACGAUAUCGGGAGUUUUUUCCUCGUCCCUCUUUUUGGUUUCCUUUUUUAUUUCCUGAAAAAAAUUAACCGGGGAUUCAAUUAGUAACUGGCCCUAUCUGUUGUAUUGAUAUAGGGGAUCUUGGAUGCAGGAGGGUCUGGUCAUGUUUGUUACCCUGCUAUACUGGUUUUCGAGAUUCCAGAGAAGUUUUCUCUGUCCUUACUUGUUUUCUGUUGUUUGACUGGGAGUUUUGUGGCUAUAGAUGCUGAUUUCCUCUGUGAGACAGCUGUGUUCGUUUUCUGAUUUCCUGCAUUAUUUUUGGGUUGUGCAAUAUAGGGUUUCAGUAAUUCGGAAUUGUGGUGAUAACUGAGCCUUCCUUCCUCGGAUGGUAAACUGUUUUGGAGGGAGUUAUCUUCUUACGAACAAUCUUGUUCUUGAGGAAUUUAUGCUUUUGGCACCUUUUGAUAUCUCAGACUGUUUUACCGAGUUUUUUUUUUUUUUAGAAGUCCAGGACAAACACAGUUGAAAUAGCUUUAAACCUCUCCAUUCAAUUUGCCUGCACCUUUUUUUUUUGCUUGUUCUUCAUCAGAGUUAUCUUUGCCUAUUUGUUCUCUUUAGGCUUUUGAAUUUAUUUUGGUUCCAUGCCUUCUCUAUUUUUGGGAAUGGUUCUCAGAUGCUUAGGAUCGUAUCAAUAUGGCAAUAUUGAUGUUGGCAAGUAUUUCUUAGCUUUUAAAUUCUGCCAUCAAACAUGUUUUUCUAGGUAUUUCCCAGUGUUAUGGUGGUUCUUCAUGAUCGGAACAAGAAUCAAGUUUAUGCUUGUUAUAUGGAUAGGUUUAUUGUAGAUGAACGAUGAACUGAAUUUGUCAAAAAUUGGUAUUAUUGAAUGGUUUCAUUUGUCAGUUCCCAUCUUUGCGUCAAAUUUCAGUUUUUGUUGGCUUUUUGCGUCGCUUGCAGAACUCUAGUGAUAGGGAGGUCUCUUGUAUGUGAGACCGUGUGAAUUAAUUGAACGGAUUUGAACAUAAUCUCUUAUUUUGGGCUCAACGUUGGUGUUUUUGUGGUUGCUUUAGGUGGUGUUGCUAUAGGUCGUGGCUCUGGGUUUCAGCAGUUUCUCUGUGGUGGUGAUUGAGAAUUGAUCUUGAGGUUUUGCAGUUCAUUGAUCUAGUCAUUCUUGAAUGGUUCUUGUUGAUGUUUCAAGGUUGUCUUUUCUUCUCUGGUUCUUUUAACGAGGCAUUAGAAUGACGGAGUUCUGCGUAUGCAAGCAAAACGAGCUCUUCUUGGAUGGAUGGAAGCAAAAAGAGCUCUUCUUGGAAGGAUGAAUGUGAUAAAUCGGGAGUUCUCUUCUGCCUACCAAUUCUGUGUUUGUGUUCUUUGCCUAAAAAUCACUGGUGUUCGUUGGUAAUGGCUUGUCCAUUGUCUUCAUUUUAGGGAAGCUUGGAUCGGAGCACUCUCGUCAUGCUUGUUACCCCGCUAUUCUGGUUUACAAGAUUUUGGAUGAGCUCUCUCUUUCCCUACUUGUUUUCUGCUGUUUCCUUGAUAUUGAUUGGGAAAUUUGUGGAUUUGCUCCGGCUUAUUCUCUAAUUUCCUAUGUUACUAGGAUGUUGCAACAUAGGGUUUCAGUGAAGUGAUUCGUGAUUCAAACUUGCCUUUUCAUCCUCAGAUCAAGGGCUAGUAAAAUCUUUUGGAGGGAGUUAUUUUCUCACCUACACUAAUUGUUCUUUUUGUGUUCGGGGAAUUUAGGGGUUUCGACACCUUAUUUAUAAUUUAAGUUUCCCAUGUAUCUUUUUGGUCUGGCAGCAUGUUUUGCAGAGUCAACUUUCCUGAUCCACGAGGAAUAGAACGGGUUAUAACCAAGUGCAUGUCUCUGCUUAUUCAACAGUUUCUUUCUGGAAAAAAUGUCUAUGAAUGCUUUCAACCUAUGCAUUCAAUUCACCUAAGGUUCGCUUUCUUUUGGCUUUUGGAUUUGAUGGACUAGCUUAAUUCAGGGCUUCUCUUUGGGGAUGGUUCUGCACUGCUUAGUAUCUAAGAGGAAUUAAAUUCCAUCAUCAAGCAUUUUGUAUAGGUGGGUUCCUGGUAUUUUGCUCAUUCUGCUUGAUUUGAAGAAGAAUUAAGGCUAUGCAUAUUGGUUUGAUGGUAUGGUAAAUUAUGGACAAAUUUUAUUUUAGGAUUAUUCUCAGUCUUUGUGCCAAGUCUUUGUUGGCCAUUCAUGUUUUCAUACUCCCUUGCAGAACUCUACUGAGGGUGGUGAUAGAACAUGGGCUUUUGGAUGCCAUUCUUCUUUAGAAUUAUGGGAUUCCCUUCUAGAAUUGUGGAAUGGAUGUGAUGCUUUGUUUUUGCAUUGCUGGUGGCAGUUGUUCUGGGUUUUCAGCAGUUUCCCUAUGUUCAUUGGUAAAAAGGACUUCACGUUAAUUGCUGUGUGUGUGUGGUUCUUGGUGAUAUUGCAAGAUUUGUCUUUUCUUCUCUGGUUCUUUUGAUGUCAUCUUUACAAGAAUAGUCAAUUUCUGGUGUGGAGGCGAGGAGCUCUCUUGGAUGGAUGUGAAUAAAAUCGGGAGAUUUUCUUUUGAACCUGGUUUUUCUUUGUUCUCUUUGCCUGAAAAAAUCAUUGGGGAUGGAUGGUGAUGGCUUCUGUCUGUUGUCUUGAUUUUAGGGAAGCUUGUUCCAGGAGCGCUGGUGUGUUUGGUACCCUAGCCAGUUUUGUAACAAGAUUUUGGAUGAGCUCUCUCUUUCCCUACUCUCUUUUUUUAUUGGCUGUUUUCUUCAAAAAUGAUUUUCUUUACUUGUUAUCUAAUUUGCUAUAUUAUUUUGUGUUGAAUCUAGGGUUUCAGUGAUUUGGAGGUGUGGUUGAAACUUAGGUCUCUGUCCUCAGAUCAAAGGCUACUAUAUUAUUUUGGAGGGGUUUAUCUUCUUACCUAUGCUUAUCAUUCCUUUUUGCUUGAGCAUUGUACUGGUUUUGGUACUUUUUGAUGUCCGUACAGUAUUAUGUAAUCUAAAUUUUUUGUGAAUCUUUUCUGUUUGUAGAAAUACCUCAUGCAUUAUUUGUUUUGUCAGUAAUUGCUUAGAAUUCUGUUCUUGAUCCUCUAGGAAAAGGUUUCACUGCUUAAUCCCAAUCAUUAAGUGUUGGACACCUCCGACCAGCCCAUUCAAUUCACAUGCACCUAUUUUGCGGCUUCUCCAUUAAUUUCUGGCUAGCUUAAUCCCAUGGCUUCUCUACGUGUGGGGAGCAGUUCUCAGAUGCUUAGGAUCUUACCAGUAUGGCGAUUUUGAUGUUCUGAAGUAUUUCUUAGUGUUCAAAUUCUGCCAUUAAACCUGUUUUUUCAGGUCGUUCCUGGUGUUUUGGUGGUUCAUGAUGAUCUGAACUAGAAUCAAGUUUAUGCUUGUUAUAUGAAUAGGUUUGGUGUUAUGAUAGACGAUUUAAAUUUGUAAAAAGUUGGUAUUGUUGGUUCGUUCCAUUGUCAGUUCUCAUCUUUGCGUCAAAUUUCAAAUUUUUGUUGGCUUCGUGUAGCUUGCCGAACUCAAUCGUCAGGGGGAGGUCUCUGGGAUGUGACUGUGUGUGAAUUAAUUGGAUGGGGUCUGAAUUUAAUGUAAAAUGUGGAGCUUUUAUUUGGACCUAUGGGUGGUUUUUUUUUUUUGUCUAGCUGGAGUUGCUAUAGGUGGUCUCUCUGAGUUUCAGAAGUUUCUCUGUGGUGUUGAGAAUUGAUCAUGAAGGCCUGCACUUUGCGGUUUUGUAGUAUGUUGAGUACUUCUUGAAUGUUCCUUGUUGAUUUUUCAAGGUUGUCUUUUCCCCUCUGGUUCUUUUGGUGUGGUGGUCUUAGAAUGGUGGAGUUCUACAUAUGGAGGCAAAAAGAGCUAUGGAUUGACGUGGUAGACCAGGAGUUUUCUUGUUUGUUCCUUUUGCCUAAAAAUCACUGGUGUUUGUUGGUAAUGGCAUCUCGCUGUUGUCUUCAUUUUAGGAUAGCUUGGAUCAAAACAUUCUUGUCAUGUUUGUUACCCUGCUAUUCUGGUCUACAAGAUUUCGGAGAAAGCUGCUCCCCUACUUGUUCUCUGUUGUUUCCUUCAAAUCAAUGAGAGAUCUCUGGAUGGUAGAUUUGCUCUGUCUGUAUCGUUUGUGCAUGAGGAAUUAGGGGUUUUGACAUCUUAUUUGUAAUAUUUCUGAUUUUCUUAUUCUGUCCGUUAUUUGGUCUGGCAGUAAUUUCUGCAGAGUUGACUUUCCUGAUUCAUGAGAAAUAGACGGGGGCAUAAUCAAGCGUAUAUCUCUGCUAAUUCUCAACUUUGUUUAGUUCUGGACUGUAUGAAUCACUUUUAAUCUGCCCAGUCAAUUCACCUAAAGUUAUCAUACCCAGUUGUUCUUUUCCUGGCUCUUGAUGGAUUAGCUUAGUCCAGGACCUCUCUUUGGGUGAUGGCUCUGCGGUGCUUGGUAUCUAACGGGAAUUAAAUUCUUUUAUCUAACAUGUUUGUAUAGGCAGGGUUUUUGUGUCGCUGAUUCAUCAUGGUCUGAAGAAUAAAUGCUACAUAUAUUGGUUUGGUUUUGAUAAUAUGGUAGAUGAUCUACAAUUUUUAUUUCAGCUUUGUGCCAAGUUCAGUCUCUGUUGGUUGUUUAUGUUUUCACACACUUGCAGAAUUCUACUGAGGGUGGUGACUGAAUAUGGGCUUUUGGAUGUGAUGAUUCUUAAGACUGAUUGGAUGGCUGUGAACGUGAUCCAUUAUCUGGAGUUUUGCUUCUGUAUCACUGUUGCAUUGCUGUAGGCAGUUGAUUGCUGUUUGUUUCGAUCAUGGUGAUGUUUCAAGAUCUGUGUUUCCUCUCUGGUUCUUUUGAUGUCGUCUUUCAAGAAUAGUGGACUUCUGGUGUGUGGAGGCAAGAAGAGCUUCCUUUUGGAUAGAUGUGAAUUAAAUUGGGGGCUUUUCUUGGCAACAUGGUCUUUCUUUGCUCUCUUUCCUUGAAAAAUUCACUGGGGAUAUUUGGUGAACUUUUAUCUGUUGUCUUGAUUUUAGGGAAGCUUGAACUGGGAGUAUCAUCCUGCUUCUCGGUUGUGAUAAGAUUUUGGAUUUGCUCUUUCUUUCCCUACUCUUUUUUAAUUUUUUUUUGGGUUCAUUUUCUUGAAAAAUGAUUUUCUCUACUUGUUCUUAAUUUGGUAUAUUAUUGUGUUGAGUCUAGGAUUCCAGUGAUUUGGAGGUGUGAAAACUUUAAGGUCUCUAUCCUCAGAUCAAAGGCUAGUACAUUGUUUUGGAGGGCGUUUGUCUUCUUACCUACUCUUACCAUUUGAGGGAGGGAGCUUGAAUUUAAGAAUCUCUGGUCAUUUUGUUACCUGGUAUUGUGGUCUGCAUGAUUCCAAAGGAGUUUCUUCUCUCAUCGGCGUGUGGUUUUCUUUGUACAGCACUACGUAGUUUUUAAAAUUAAAUUACGGCAUUCAAUUUCAGGAAGGGCUGGGAGUUGAAGUCAGAUCUGUGUUUUCAAGCCUGAAUUUCUGCAUUACUAACCCAUUCUACCUAGCUUGUGCACAGUCAUCCUAGUUGCAUACUACCAAUCAACAUGAAAUCAAAACAGAUGCAGAGGUUUCUUAUCCUGAUCAUGUGUAAUGGAUAUGUCUGAGCUUAACCGUAGUGUCAUUUUGUUUGUCCAGGUUUAUUCAUGAUGGUGGUGUUAAUAUACUAUGAAGUUUGCAGAUUCUGCUUUGACAGUAUGAGCGUUAUCUGGAGUUAUGGUUGUAUUUAGCAGAGUAUUGUAUAUUCUGUAGCGAGCAUGCUUAUUCCAGUGAAUUUAAGAUCUUUACCUCAACCAGUUCUUGAGUUCAAUGUCCAGAAAUUGGGAUUUCUGUUUCUGUUUCUCCUUUUAAGUGAUGGAUGGAAAAGAUGAAGCGCUUUCUAGUCUACAUGGAAUUUGAUUUGAUGACUUUGAUGUUUGAAUGUGGAAAGAAACUUCUGAUAUACUAUGGGGUGCGGCCUAAGAUGUAACUCAGUAUGGAUUAUCAAGUUCAUGGUCAUGGUCAAGUUGGGGGUGUAUUUCUUGCCUCCUAUCCUUUCUUGGGCUUUUUGUAUGUUUGAACUGGUUUGUCCGUUAUUAUGCAGCAACUUUAACUGUUCUCCAUCACCAUUGAGUACUCGCUGCUGGCCUUCGUUAUCUGCAAUUGAGUGGAAGAAAACUGUGUCGUGGUUAUUCUCACUUCAUAAGCGGAUGCUGGUUCAGUCAUGUUAGAACAGAUGCAUGCAAUAUCUGUUUUCACAGUCGUUGACUUGCAUACAACUGGUACCAGUUCUGGUAUUGUGCAGUCGUGUAAGAACAGAUGCGUGCAAUAUCUGUCUUCGUAAUCAUCAACUUACAUACCACUGGUACUGGUAUUGUUUGUGAAUUUCAUUUCAUACUUGAAUUUUGUGAUCCUCUGGUACAUAGGUUUAGUAUGCAACUUUAAAGUGCAUGUAAUUGAAUUUUGUUAUCCUUGGGUUUAUUGGACAAUAUUUGCUUGUGGCCUUUUAACAGUUAUGGUGUGGCAUCAAGAGGUCCAAUCUAAGAUCUGCAAUAGUUGUAUGCGUUGUGGUUUCGGGAAGGUGGUUGCAUCUUAACAGGCCCUGGCACAGGUGUAUUGUGUUCAUAGAACCAAUCAUAAAUGAUUGACAGAUUGAGAGGAAUCCAAAUGCCCUUGUGUACAAGUCUUGAAAAUCAUUAAUUUAUUUGAAGUGCGUACUACUUUUGAGGUUGAUUUCGGUGGAUUUAAGAAAUGAAAGAGUUCCUGUUUUCUAGGGCAACUUGUCAUUUUCUGUAUGAUUUACCUGUGUAGCUUAAGCCCCUGUGAUUUGUGUGACUUUUUAAGUCCCAUAAGUAGGGUCUAUUUGUUGGAUACUUGCACUAUAUAAUAUUUGAUCUUUUAUCAGCCUUUAGCAUCAUAAUUUUUUUCAAAAUUUUCAAAAUUUUUAUUUUUAUUUUUUUGUAUGUAAAUCUGUUUUGAUAUCCGAUUCUCUUCACCGGAGCUUUUCUUUAGACCUUUCCUAAUUCUUUUUGGUACCUUGAAUGCUAUAGAAAAUUAACUGUAGCAUCACAUUUGUUUCACACAGUGGUUGAGCCCCCUAACUUGAUGAAAAUUUAGUUGAUUUAUAGGUUAAGUAUGCAGAAGGUGAGCCUUGGUAUAAAAACAAGUAAACAAAGUAAGUGUGGUAAUUUUGGUAAUAUGUUUGGUGUGCUAUUCGUAGAGUUCUCUUGUACUCUGGUGCAGAUUGUUGCAAGUUUAUUUUGCUAUUUGUGAGACGUUUGUAGCUUGCCUUUUGGUGGGGAUAACUUGAAGAUUCCCUCUGCCUGUUGCUUUUUUGGACACUGCUGCGUAUGAGUUGGAUUUUUUUUGUUUUUUUUGGUUUUAUUGGAGAUGCAUCUGUCCUCUAUUGUUCUCUAUUGGAGAUUCCCCCUGUCUGUAUGCUUGUGCUGUUUUGUUUGGUAGGAUGCUUUGUAACUCCGCCUGUCUCCACAGACAGCCGGUCCCAAGCCCGGGCAAGAGGAGGAGGGAAAGCUGAUCUUAUGUGAUGGUAUUGGUCAUUAUUAAAUAUGGUUCUUCUCCAGGUCUUCCUAUAGUAAAUCACAAUAUAUUAUGUCUUAAUGUUUUGUGAUCUGGGAAAUCACAUCAUCUGUUGCUCUUCCGCUUGUUUCUUUUGGUGGAUUUGUGGGUGGAUGGGGCUCCAUUCAUGCGCACAAUUUCUGCCUUUUUAAGAGUUGGGGAUUCAGCUAAUGGCUUUUAUUUUAUCGGGUCCCUUGCCUCGUUAGAUGGGUUACUUUUGAAAAGCUUAGGCGAGGCAAGAACUUGCAAAGCCUGACAGCCAUAACCCGUGCGAGUGUGGAAAAAGGCAAAGGGACAUCAGAGUAAGCAAUCCCGUGCGUGCAAGAAGGCGGCAACGGGACAUCGGAGUACGCAAUGGCCUGUGUUGUUUUCGUUCGAGGAAGUGAUUGGCCUAACAGCCUUGUUACUAGCUUCAUGGGAUCAUAUAGUUGUAAUACUUCAUGCACUUCUAUUAAGCUAGUUUCUUAGGCACUUAAAGAUUGCAUUAUUCCUGUGUAUAAUGAAGGCUUGACACUUCACUCAAGUUUUAAAGUAUGAAAUUGGGACUAGUUUUGUAUCUCUUUUGCUCUUGUAUUAUGUAAUCAAUUACCUGGUGGUUCUGCUUCUGUUUGUUAAUAUUUCUGUUUGUUAA